rnacentral:rRNA from 1 species
UGGGGGAUUUUGCACAAUGGGCGCAAGCCUGAUGCAGCGACGCCGCGUGUGGGAUGAAGGCCUUCGGGUUGUAAACCUCUUUCGCUGGGUUGAAAGGCCAUGCUUUGGGUGUGGUUGAUUUGAACUGGUAAAGAAGUACCGGCUAACUACGUGCCAGCAGCCGCGGUAAUACGUAGGGUACUAGCGUUGUCCGUAUUUAUUGGGCGUAAAGGGCUUGUAGGUGGUUUGUCGCGUCUGUCGUGCAAUCCUGUGGCUUAACCAUGGGCUUGCGGGGGGUACGGGCAGGGAUGAGUGCGGUAGGGGAGACUGGGAUUCCUGGUGUGGCGGUGGGAUGCGCAGGUAUCAGGAGGAACAACGGUGGAGAAGGCGGGUCUCUAGGCAGUUACUGACACUGAGGAGCGAAAGCGUGGGGAGCGAACAGG